rnacentral:rRNA from 1 species
AUUGAACGCUGGCGGCAUGCCUUACACAUGCAAGUCGAACGGCAGCACGGGUGCUUGCACCUGGUGGCGAGUGGCGAACGGGUGAGUAAUACAUCUGAACAUGUCCUGUAGUGGGGGAUAGCCCGGCGAAAGCCGGAUUAAUACCGCAUACGAUCUACGGAUGAAAGCGGGGGACCUUCGGGCCUCGCGCUAUAGGGUUGGCCGAUAGCUGAUUAGCUAGUUGGUGGGGUAAAGGCCUACCAAGGCGACGAUCAGUAGCUGGUCUGAGAGGACGACCAGCCACACUGGGACUGAGACACGGCCCAGACUCCUACGGGAGGCAGCAGUGGGGAAUUUUGGACAAUGGGCGAAAGCCUGAUCCAGCAAUGCCGCGUGUGUGAAGAAGGCCUUCGGGUUGUAAAGCACUUUUGUCCGGAAAGAAAUCCUUGGCUCUAAUACAGUCGGGGGAUGACGGUACCGGAAGAAUAAGCACCGGCUAACUACGUG